rnacentral:rRNA from 1 species
UGGGGAAUUUUGGACAAUGGGCGAAAGCCUGAUCCAGCAAUGCCGCGUGUGUGAAGAAGGCCUUCGGGUUGUAAAGCACUUUUGUCCGGAAAGAAAUCCUUGGCUCUAAUACAGUCGGGGGAUGACGGUACCGGAAGAAUAAGCACCGGCUAACUACGUGCCAGCAGCCGCGGUAAUACGUAGGGUGCAAGCGUUAAUCGGAAUUACUGGGCGUAAAGCGUGCGCAGGCGGUUUGCUAAGACCGAUGUGAAAUCCCCGGGCUCAACCUGGGAACUGCAUUGGUGACUGGCAGGCUAGAGUAUGGCAGAGGGGGGUAGAAUUCCACGUNUAGCAGUGAAAUGCGUAGAGAUGUGGAGGAAUACCGAUGGCGAAGGCAGCCCCCUGGGCCAAUACUGACGCUCAUGCACGAAAGCGUGGGGAGCAAACAGGAUUAGAUACCCUGGUAGUCCACGCCCUAAACGAUGUCAACUAGUUGUUGGGGAUUCAUUUCCUUAGUAACGUAGCUAACGCGUGAAGUUGACCGCCUGGGGAGUACGGUCGCAAGAUUAAAACUCAAAUGAAUU